CAGUUGUAUGGAAGAAGAGAAGGUUAGCACUCCCCUUGGUAAGGAUGGAACGGACCCUGCGACCUGUACAACACGCAUAGGAUUAAGGCAUUGCCACUUACUUCAGACUGCCAUCAAAAAAGAUUUUUUU
rnacentral:ncRNA from 1 species